rnacentral:rRNA from 1 species
ACGGAAGGCAGCAGUGAGGAAUAUUGGUCAAUGGGCGAGAGCCUGAACCAGCCAAGUAGCGUGCAGGAUGACGGCCCUAUGGGUUGUAAACUGCUUUUAACCGGGAAUAACGUUACCUUCGUGAAGGUAAGUGCAUGUACCGGUUGAAUAAGGAUCGGCUAACUCCGUGCCAGCAGCCGCGGUAAUACGGAGGAUUCGAGCGUUAUCCGGAUUUAUUGGGUUUAAAGGGAGCGUAGGCGGGAAGUCAAGUCAGCUGUGAAAUGUAGACGCUCAACGUCUGCACUGCAGUUGAAACUGGUUUUCUUGAGUGCGUAAGAGGCAGGCGGAAUUCGUCGUGUAGCGGUGAAAUGCUUAGAUAUGACGAAGAACUCCGAUUGCGAAGGCAGCUCGCUGGGCCGCAACUGACGCUGAAGCUCGAAGGUGCGGGUAUCAAACAGGAUUAGAUACCCUGGUA